UCCUGUGAAGACCAUAUGGGCAUUCAUAGCUAUCUUAUGAUCAUGCUUCUGCUGCCAGUAAACAAGCUGAUCACUAUCAGGAUCGGCCGCUUCCCUCCCCUGGAAUUGUUACCAUGCUUAUUAGUUCUACACCUUAGGUGCUUACUAUCCAUAGUGCACUAGCUUGGACAUUUUAAGAAACGUCUGUGUAUAUCCAUGUUGCUGCUAAAGACUACUAGAUAUCGGUAUGCCUAUAACUGUUUGGCACUGCAGUUUACUUCUAUUUCACUUCCUGCUUUCUUGCUCUCUUUUUUAACACCAAAGAAUACUUACAUUUAUAUCUCAUCAUCUGGCGUCUUUGCUAAUUACCCAUUUCUUGCCCACCGUAAUUCCGCUCAGGUGGCGCGCCAACGGCACGCCCCAGGUUCUAGUUGAUUUUAAACUUGUAUGUUUAUGGAGUGAUAUAACAUAAUGAAUUACGUUAGCAAUUUUUUUUAAAAAAAAUCAUUACUAAUUAAUUGGUAUGCAAGUAAUGGUGGUAUAUCAUGUUAAGGGAUGACAUGACUUUCCCUAAGUGCUACUCUAUACAAAUGUAGAGUGUGUUUCCUUCCCAAGUUAUAUACACAUUAACGUUUUUGGGGUCACUACUGGAAAAAUCAUUGAGUAAAAUACACCAGCGGUUCUUAAACUUGUCAGGAGGUUUCACUUAGAUCCACGAACUUGCAAAGUGCACAUCGAGAUCCCUAAACUUGGUUUAUUAUAUCAUUCCGGUUCAAAGCCGCAUUUGACUGUGGUCUUGCCUACGUGGCACAUCACGUGGAUAAUGACAUGGAAUUUUUUUUAUUUUUUUCUCCCUUCUUCCUUCUUUUUUUCUCUUUCUUCCUUCUUUUUUCUCGGUGGUGAGAGGCGGAACGAGGGGAGGGGUUGUCGCAGUGGUGAAAAAAGAAGGAAGAAGGGAGAAAAAAAUAAAAAAAAUUCCAUGUCAUCAUUCACGUGGCGUGCCACAUAGGCAAGACCACAAUCAAACGUGGCUUUGGACCGGGAUGAUACAAUAAACCAAGUUUAGAGACCUCGAUGUGCGCUUUGCAAGUUCGUGGACUUAAGUGAAACCUCCCGAUAAGUUUAAGGACCGCUAGUGCAUUUUACUCAAAAUCAUUUUUCCAGACGAUCAAAAACAGUUUUCACGGGCGGAGGAAAGGAUCGCCUGGAUGCAAUCGCCUGCGACGCAGGCGACAUCUCCUCUUUACAGGCGGUGAUUUACCCGCCUGCAAAAACACAUUCAACGAAUAACAAAAAGCCGCACACGGGCGCCGCCGCCGGCCUCCCCCUCCAGCCGGCAGCUCUCCUCCUUCCGUCCCCGCCCUCACACAGGCGCCGUCCUCGUCGCAUCGGCGUCAUCGUCGUCGCCGCAGUUGUCGUUGCCGCCGUCGCGCGUCUCCUCCCCCUACCCAUAGGCGGCACCGUCGUUGUCGUUGUGGCGCGUCACCGCGAGAGGGAGGAGCCUAGCCGGGAGAGGGCAAGCGAGCCAGUGGCGAAGGCGGAGGGAGUGAGGAGGGGGACCGUUGCAGCUGGCGGCGGAGGCAGCAAGGAGCUGAGCCGGCGGUGGAUUUGGUGGUGGUGGUGAACAAAUGAGAGAGAGAGAGGAGUAGGAGGAAAAUGAGUGGUGGGGAGAGGAUAAGAAUGGUGCAGGAGAGGAUAAGAAUGAAACUUAGAUAUAUUUUUGGUGGCAUGGUUUUUGCAGAAGAAUCGUACAUAAGUUUCCACCUGUAAAAAUCAUAUUUUUCCAGGCGGACCACUUAAGAGGUCUGCCUGUGAAAAUAAAGGUAUUUUUGCAGGCGGACCUCUUAAGUGGUCCGCCUGGAAAAAUUGAUUUUCGCAGGCGGACGGUGAGCUCCACCCCGGUUUACAUUUUCCUAUAUGGACAUUUAGCUCCGAUGGUCAUAUCCGUCUGGAAAAAAAAAAUCUCCCAUCGUAUGUGAAAAUGCUUUUUCUAGUAGUAGGUGUGUUAUUGCUAGGCCCUGUUUAGUUCGCGAAAAGAAAAAUUUUAGGUAUCAUAUCGGACGUUUGACCGGAUGUUGGAAGGGGUUUUUGGACACGAAUGAAAAAACUAAGUUCAUAACUCGGCUGAAAACCGCGAGACGAAUUUAUUGAGCCUAAUUAAUCCGAUAUUAGCAUAUGUGGGUUACUGUAGCACUUAUAGCUAAUCAUAGACUAAUUAGGCUUAAAAGGUUCGUCUCGCAAUUUCUAUGCAAACUGUGUAAUUAGUUUUUCUUUUUAAUGCUACAUGCAUAUGUCAAAAGAUUCAAUGUGAUGUUUUUGAAGAAAAAAAUUGGGAACUAAACAUGGCCGUUCGGUUUGGCAAACAGAUGGCUGCUGUGGCUGAGCUGUGCAUACAGUUCGAGGCGGAAUUUCGGCCCUCGUCGUCAGGGCUCUGAGCAUGUUAGAGAGCAGCACGUCAAGCAAGCAACCGAGCAUCGGUGAAGCAGCUGGAGCGUGAAGCUCGCCGUUCCGUUGGAUAUAGGGUGAUUUUGUUGCAUGAUAUUGUGCGUUCAAAGGAAGGAGGUUUCAUGUGGGUAACUAUUUGAUUGUUCCAUAUUCACCUAACUAAACUUGAACUUCACUAUAUAGUUUGUUUCAGAUUGUACAUAUGAUUUAAUUAUUACGAAUUCGUGAUGAUCGGUCUCAUUUUUGGAACAAAAGAGUGACCAUCGCCGUGUUUAGUUCCAAAAUAUUUCUUCAAACUUUCAUCUUUUCCAUCACAUCAAAACUUUUCUACACACAUAAACUUCUAAUUUUUCCGUCACAUCAUUCCAAUUUCAGCCAAACUUUCAAUUUUAACGUGAACUAAACACAGCCCAUACAUGAAAAACAAAAAUCAAUACUGUACAUAAUUCCUGACAGCAGACUGCCAGACUUACACCCAGCACACCAUUGUCAUCUUCGCUAGCCUACUGCAGUCGGCUUCGGUUGAUGCAUUAAGGCUAUGUUUAGUUCACACUAAAAUUGGAAGUUUGGUUGAAAUUGGAACGAUGUAACGGAAAAGUUUGAAGUUUAUGUGUGUAGGAAAGUUUUGAUGUGAUGGAAAAGUUAGAAGUUUGAAGAAAAACUUUAGAUCUAAACACGGUGUAAGGCUGUGUUUGAUACUUGGGUUAGGAACCCAACUCCACCGCACGGAAAACGGAGCGGUCUAUUAGCGCGUGAUUAAUUAAGUAUUAGCUUUUUUUAAAAAAUAUAUUAAUUUGAUUUUUUAAAGCAACUUUCGUAUAGAAACUUUUUACAAAAAGAAAACAUACCGUUGAGCAAUUUGAAAAGCGUACGCGUGAAAAAUGAAAGAGAGUAGUUGGGAACCUUGUGGAAAAAGAACGCAGCCUAAUCUGGAUACGGGCCAGCAAAUCCUUCAUCACUGUCUGCUGGAUCGGCCGGAUCAAAUUGUAAGCAGUACUCGACUGUAACUGCGCUGGCCGCCUGGCCUCUUCAAGAUCACCGCUACUAUAUGCAAA
rnacentral:lncRNA from 1 species